rnacentral:lncRNA from 1 species
CUGCCCUCUGCUCCGAAGAAUGAGCAAGUUGAUCCUAAGGAUGCAGGAGGCACAAUUUUCUGCGGGAGGAAGGAUGACGGUGCCUUCCAGCGCGCCGACACCCGUGCCCCGCUCCCAGGCAAUGGCUCAGGCUGGGAACAAGACCCAAUGGAAGGCGUUUGGUCCGGAGCACAGAAUCCUCACAGGCCCGCAGGCUCGGAAAACAAGGUGUCUGGCCCCGCCCUCUGGGUUAAUUGCCCUGGGCGGGGCUUGGGCGGGGCCUGAGCCGCCCUGGUAGUAAAAGCAGGUCCUCGGCCAUCUCAGCCUAGGCUGGAGGAGCAGGGUGGAGGCCAGGCUCCUCGGACCCUGCGGGCGCUGGUUGGUCAGCAGGGCUCGUACCCAGCCGAGCUCCCUGGGGAGUUGGCCUGCUCUCCGACCUCUCCUGAGUGGCCAGGAUCUAGAUCUGCUGAAAGAUGUAAUUUGAUAGGGGAGUAGGGGCUCCAUGUUGGCUUUUGUUUCCAGCAGCUACUUCUGGAGGGCCCCGCAUCUCAAAGGUAUGGGACUUACUCAGGCAUGAGUGAGAUUUCCAUUCUGGUUUUGCUGGUGUGAUGUUCGUGCGUGUGUGUGCGUUUUCUCUGAUGGCCAGAGUUUCCCGGUUGAGGGGGUACAGCAGGGUGGGACACCCCCCACCCCCACCCCGUGUAUCUGGUUCCCUGUCAAGAUGUAGUCCCAUGGUAAUAUAUCAAAACCCCACUUCCCACCUGACACACGUGGGAAGCCCCUCUGCUCAGGCAUGCCCAAUCAAGCUGUUUUCCUUUCCUGGGUUUGUGUGUAGGUCUCAGAUGCCUCUGCUCCCAUAUUCGCCUCCGUUCCUGCAUUCAGUGACUCGGCUUUGCUGGGACCAUGGGAUACCCUGGACCUGGAGGAUGCCAGGAUCUGAUCAGUUGUAUUUUCAGAGAAUGAAAGAGAAGCUGAAUCCUACAAUCAUGAGGGGGCAUUUCCGUCCAGACCCGGAACGUGCCGUGCUGUGGCCCUGGGCGCAGAGGAGGAGGUGACCUGUUCAGCUCUUCCUGCUGCUCUCCUGGAAUUCAGACUUGGAAUCACUGCCAAGAACUGGUCAUCGUUGUGUUCUGAAGACGUAGGAGGGAGAAGCUCUCAACAGUUUUCUUUGUUCUGAAAAAUCUCUUCUAGGAGUUCCUGCUGUGGCCCAGUGGGUUGAGAACCUAACUGGAGUGGCAUGCGGAGGCACAGGUUCAACCCCAGGCCCAGUGCAGUGGGUUAAGGAUCCAGUGCUGUCAUAGCUGCAGCUCAGAUUCAGUCCCUGGCCUGGGAACUUCCAUAAGCCGUGGAUGCGGCCACAAAGCAAAGAAUCUUUCCUAGGAAUUCUGAGUCUAUUUGGGUACCUCCUACCUGAUGGAUUGGAGAAUUCCUUCAUCUACAGAAGGCCCGGUAGGCGGGUAGGGAGUACUUGCAUUUCUCUUGGGCUUACAUGGGGCUAAAGAGAUCAGCCACUGUGGGCUCCACAGUCUGCUCUGUACAAGUGAACAUGUGGCCGCACCCGGCGAGCACUAGACGGUGGCAGACCGAUAGGCUUCCAGGUGACAGCUCCCCGUCUAAGGGUCUCAGGGUUCCAGCAGCACCCAGGGCUCCAUCAGCCCUUCCACCAUCACAAAAGCCUCCUCAGUGGCUCGCCACCCUCCCCCACAGACACCCCAACUGAGAGGGACCCCAAAUCAUUUCUGUAGGGCUUGGUAGGCUUGGGACCCCCAGAAGCACCUGCUGUUUAAAGCAGGUGCCAGGUGGUGUGUAGGGUGAGCCAUGGUGGGGCCAUGAGCUGUGAUGUGGAAAAGAGGCAAAUAAGGGAUGAGCGUGAGCUAGACCAGGGCACUUGGUACCAGUGGCCCCCCCGCCAGGGCGGGGCCAAUGGAAGCGCAGGGUCAAGGAGACACGGCACUUUGUCCAUCAAAUAAUAAACGAGGGCUAAAAUCUAGAUGUCCUCCA